CGGGGGGGGCAAGCGUUGUUCGGAAUUACUGGGCGUAAAGGGCGCGUAGGCGGUUUGCUAAGUUGGAUGUGAAAACUCUGAGCUUAACUCAGAGCCUGCAUCCAAAACUGGCAGGCUGGAGUUUUGGAGGGGGAAGCGGAAUUCCUGGUGUAGCAGUGAAAUGCGUAGAUAUCAGGAGGAACACCGGUGGCGAAGGCGGCUUCCUGGACAAAAACUGACGCUGAGGCGCGAAAGCUAGGGGAGCAAACAGGAUUAGAUACCCUGGUAGUCCUAGCCCUAAACGAUGGAUACUUGCUGUGAGGGGGAUUGAAUCCCUUCGUGGCGAAGCUAACGCAUUAAGUAUCCCGCCUGGGGAGUACGGUCGCAAGGCUG
rnacentral:rRNA from 1 species